ACCGAAACAACCUAAUUCAGACCCGUGGUCUAACAAUAUGAGAUAAACCAACUUCCAGGAUCGGAUUUCCAAAAGCCUUUCUCUUAUUUGGGAUGUGUCAAAAUUCCAAGUCUCAACGGGCUCUGGGUAGUGCUUGCACCCCAAAUACAUUGCAUAAUUAGAUCAUAGUGCAGUAUGGAAGGGCCAGCCCUCCAAUGCCCAAGUUUAAAGCGACCUCAAGGUCCCAAAGCAAUGAUCAUAAGAGGGGGGGAAACACUUAGGGUCUAAGAGUAAGUGGAAGUGCAUAAAGAGGGAAUUAGGGAAAUCCACGACAAGCUAGUGGUCAUGCCUAGAAAUUGGGAGUGAUGGCACACCCCUAACCAGCCUGUUAGCCAAAUCUUAGGAGUUAGGAUCCAUUGUGGAUCAGGUUAUAAACUGGGCAGUAAUUUUGAUACUGCCAAGCCAAAAACCUUAACUCAAACACAUAGAAGAGAAUAGGGGUAGGGAUUCACGAUAGAAACAGAUGCAAGGAAAGGACAUACAUAGUCUAAUCACAGAACAUCAAUAGUAAAGUAAACAAGAAUGAUGAAGUUAUGAAGUAAACACAUAGGGAUGAAGCAGAAAAUUAAAUCAGAGCAUACAAGUUUCAGGGAAAAUAAGUAAAAACAUGAGUCUUAAUGAAGCCAAGUUGCAAGAAAAACAACUCCAAAAGAUCUCAAGAAAAAGCAAAAUGUUGAAAGAGUAUUGAACUCAAAGUAGUAAGUGUGUGAGAGUAUUGAAUUGGGAGUUAGAGAUGAUUUUACUGAAAGUGUUAAGAGUGCAGAAGGGCAAUCCCUUUUAUAAUGCAAAAUACAAGUAAAAAAGAUAAGGAAAUAUCAUUGAAAUCAAUCUCCAUUUAGUUAAGGGAUUCUAAUUUCAACGGGUACAAACUAAUUAUGGAAAGAAGUUUUGAUUAAAACCUUUUCAAAGUAGCACAAAAGGGAUAAAUACAUAGAAGUCAUUUAAGGAAGAGUUCUUGAUAGUACAUGGUUGUAAAAUUUAAGGAAAGGAAAUAAUUUGACAGCCAAGAAAUCAUAAGUCGAAAAUUUUGUAUGAAUGAAGCAAGUCAGAAAUAUGGAAAGAUGUUAACUUAAGGAAAAUCAAUAUUAAUCAAUUGGACCUAUUAAAAGGAAUUCUGAAUCAAUCACAAGUUAGAAAACCCCCCUUUGAAGAAAGAUUCAUCACAUACAAAGGCACACAGACACAUUAAAACAUAAAGAAAUUUGUCAUGCCAUUGUAAGGCUAAUGAAAACUCCAGGGAAGUCAAAAUUACAUGAAAAAUAAGGAAGUCCAAACUCAGUUCGUAGGCUCAGAGAUUAGUCUGAGGAGUCAAGGGUUCUCAAAUAGAACCAUAAUUCAAUUACUUGACCAAACUCGGACCCCAAAUUGUAUGGUUUCUACUUCGAGUCAAAUACAGAGAUGAGGAGGCAACUUGCUCAGACAUUUCGGAAUCUGAUAAGAAGACAAGCAAGUACAAUAGAAAAUUCAAACCAAACAAAGUGAAGGAACUAACUCAGAGCAUAAUGAGAGAACAAAUAUGAUAGUAGAAGAAACAUGUUUAAGAAACCUUUCAGAAGGGACUUAAGAACUUAGCAAAAGAAAUAUAAUAGGAGAACACAAGAACAUUGGAAACGUAUAGCAAAGAGCAUAUAGGAAAACAUAAUGAGAUGAACAUGUGAGCAUGGUAUAG
rnacentral:lncRNA from 1 species